rnacentral:tRNA from 1 species
GGGGUUGUAAUGCAAUGGUAGCAUAUCAGUUUUUCAAGCUGGAAACCUGGGUUCGAUUCCCAGUAGCCCUACCA